rnacentral:rRNA from 1 species
AACGAACGCUGGCGGCAGGCUUAACACAUGCAAGUCGAGCGCCCCGCAAGGGGAGCGGCAGACGGGUGAGUACCGCGUGGGAACGUACCUUUUGGUUCGGAACAACUCCGGGAUACUGGAGCUAAUACCGGAUAAGCCCUAACGGGGAAAGAUUUAUCGCCGAAAGAUCGGCCCGCGUCUGAUUAGCUAGUUGGUGAGGUAACUGCUCACCAAGGCGACGAUCAGUAGCUGGUCUGAGAGGAUGAUCAGCCACACUGGGAGUGAGACACGGCCCAGACUCAUACGGGAGGUAGCAGUGGGGGAUAGUGGACAACGGGCGCAAGGAUGAACCAGCCAUGUUGGGUGAGUGAUGAAGGCAUUAGGGUAGUAAAACUCUGUUGUCAGGGAAGUAAAUGACUGUACCGGAAGAGUAAGCCACGGCUAACUUCGUG